ensembl:lncRNA
GUCGCCGCCGCCCUCAUUCGCUGUGUGAACGCUCUUCGUGCACGGCGGGGAAAUGAGCCCCGUGAGCGCAGGGGUCUUCCCCGAAGUUUCUGCAUUUUGCUGUCCCGCUGCUGCUCUGAGCAUCGCGAUCCGCGCGAAGUGGAAUGUGCUUCGAACAAGUGAACGCCAGUCUUUACCAUGCGUUUUCCAAAUCGCAAGCUUUUCUUUUUUGUGUGUGUGUAUGUGUGGUUAUUUUUGUGUUAUGGAUUGCAUCUUCGUGUUUUUUGUUACUUUUUGCAUCCUAGAGGCAUAAAUACAAGAAUUAUAUCUGUAGCAUAUAUAGAGGUCCGAAUGCAAUGUACACAACCAUUAGGGCAGUUCACAGUUAGGAGAAGGGCUGAAGCAUUGCCCAAAGAGGUAAAAUGCACUAAGAGAGAAGUCUGCUUUGUUUUAUAUGUUCUUAAAUGUUCUUCUGGUUGCCUUCCCAUGCUGCACUCUCUUCCAUAUGCUCUCUACACCCACCAACACACCCACCUACACACACACAAUUUACCAACAUACUUUAUGGCUUUGCUGAAUUGAGAUCCACACCACCAUUCAAAUAAGAUAAAACAAACAGCUGUUUUCUUUCUGCAGAACGAGCAUAUUCUGACUUGGCACUUGUGAAGCAUCUGAAAGAAGAUGCUUCUUGAAGAAGUUGACAGAAAUGUCUUACACCAGCGCAGUGUAACGCUGCAUGGAAGGCCCAGGUCUGAAGUAUGCUCACCUGGGUGUGCUGAGGAGCAUUGGGACAAUUUCCAGAGGGAUCUGGCAGGUGUGGGCCAUUACACCUCAUUAUGAAAAUCAAAAGGACUGAAAACAAAAGAGACAUCUCAGCUUGUCACCAUGCUAUUCCUCCUUGCUGUAUGUAUGGUAACUGUGAGUCACACCCUGAACCACUGAUUGAGCACCUGGGUAAAGGACCAGGCCAGCCCUAGGAGCACAGCUGAAGGCAAUUCACCUGUGCAACUGGAAGAGGUGGAGCCUGGCUGCACCUCUCUUAGACCCCCCCAUUUAAGGGCUGACUGGCCCUGGGAGAAGGAUCUCUGGUUGGAGAUCGUUCCUUUGUGGAGUCUUUCUUGUGAGCCUAGAUCUUCAGAGAUGGGUGAGUACUUCUCCUUUAUAACACCAUUCUAUCUUUGCUGGUCCCUUUGCUGUUAUGCUUUUCUGUCACCUUUUCACUGUACUGACCUUUUUGAUUGUAAUAAUGUACAACUCUGUUCUGCUUUGUGGUACAUAGCCACUGGAGCUACAGCAGAAAAUAUUCUCCCAAAAUAUGCCACUUACAGGAAAGGGUGCUUAGGUGGGAAGCAGAUAAAAGAAUAGUAACCAGUUCCCAGGUGCCUUGUCAGCUAGUAGAAUACAAAGAUCUGAAUGACGUAUAUGGCUUCCUUGUAAAGAGCACUGUGAGACACAAAUCCAAUGAAUGUGUUCCUUAAAUCCAUCUCUCUUCCCCAGAAUACUGAGAAGAUCCAUACUAUGUCUGCUAGUAGGAGUUACUGGCAAGUGUUGAUAUCUCUCUUUUGGCUCUAAUUUGGGCCUCAGGUUGCUGCAGUAGCUGCCAUCCUGGUUCCCCAUGUUGCUAAUGUCAGCCAGCUCUCCUGGAGUCCUUUGAGAAGGACAACAGAAAACUACGGCAGCAACUAGAAUAAAUAGGGAAUAUGAACUACGUUUCUUCCUUUUUCACUCCAAGAAGGAAGACAAAGAAGUAUGGUACACUACAUCUGUGACAUGGUAAAAACCUCAGGUGGGAAGCAGAGAUUCCAACGCAGCAUACCAGUUGCUUUGAUGGUAGCAUGGAUGGAGUAAGUGUCAGUACUCAGAAGCUUAAUCUAGCUUUAUUGGUCUUUCAUACAAAAAAAAAAACCCUAAAUUUGAUAUUUCAGACCCUCACUAAAGUUAUUGCUUGAAUUUACUUAUUUUAAAAUGUAUUUGAACACUUGUUUCCUUUCAAGAAUGAGCCUGUCACUAAUAAAGCAGUUAAAAAGUAAAUUAUUUCCCUCUCUUUCUG